AAGGAAUAUUGGUCAAUGGACGCAAGUCUGAACCAGCCAUGCCGCGUGAAGGAUGAAGGUCCUCUGGAUUGUAAACUUCUUUUAUCUGGGACGAAAACGGGAUUUUUAUCUCAAUUGACGGUACCAGAGGAAUAAGCACCGGCUAACUCCGUGCCAGCAGCCGCGGUAAUACGGAGGGUGCGAGCGUUAUCCGGAUUUACUGGGUUUAAAGGGUGCGUAGGUGGGCUUAUAAGUCAGUGGUGAAAUCUCCGAGCUUAUCUUGGAAACUGCCGUUGAUACUAUAGGUCUUGAAUUAUCUGGAGGUAAGCGGAAUAUGUCAUGUAGCGGUGAAAUGCUUAGAUAUGACAUAGAACACCAAUUGCGAAGGCAGCUUACUACAUAUAAAUUGACGCUGAGGCACGAAAGCGUGGGGAUCAAACA
rnacentral:rRNA from 1 species